ensembl:lncRNA
UGAUCUUUUCAUAAUAAUUUAUUAAAGAAAUUGCAAAUACACAUUGUGGUAUUACAUUUUGUGACAAUAUCGUUGCCACUUAUAAACACUGUUUUAAACAGGUAUCAGAUAGUUUAAAUGGCAAGUAUCAGAAAACAUAAAUGAUAGAGACAAGGCAUGUUUUCACAAGGAACAGGCAUUUUAAGGCAGAUUAUUCGGCACAGUCACGAGUCUCUUCUCAUCACAGUCCAUAUGGACCAGUAUAUAUACACCUAUAAGGUGUCAAUUGAAAGUCAGACAUUCGAUAGAAUGCGUAGUCACAGUCCGGGAGAGCGUUGUGUGUCCCUGUUUCUUUGUUCAGGACAACAGCCCUCAAUAUUCCCGUCAUUCUCCUUCCAGCAUGUCGAAUCCAAAGGAAUUCACGCAUGCCGUCAUUAGGCCAACGCAUGAAGCGCAUCAUCACGGAAUAGUCACACUGUGUUGUCUUGAAUCGAGGUUACGUCCAUUCCAGGACGUUCCUUCUCCUUGCUCAGUGACAGGUCGGCAUCACCUGGCCAACCGUCACCGCGACACUGUAGUGCACUUUGAUUCAACUCGUUCAUCAGAGCUGAGAGAGAACGUUCAACGAAGUUUCAACAUGUGGCGCACGACACCCACGAUCUGGAGGAACUUGUCCUUCUUUCGCUGUUUAAGCGCCAUCAGUGCUUUGGCCAUCUCCGAUGGGUCUUGAGUGAAGGAGAAAAUGCUCCUCACCCUCUCUUCAGCUUUCAUGUCCCCGGUUUUCUGGAACAGCCUCAUAACCGCGUCCUGGUUAACGUUUUCGAAUAUGUUGGGCACUGCCUUCUUGCGGUGCGCUGUGUCGAAUUUGUUCCCAUGGACCGAUGGGCUGACUCGACGGGAAUCGGAAGAUACAAUGUAGGUAGACAUCUCGCUGACUCUGUUGUAGCGCCUGUGACACCUUUGGCGUUGUAGCCGAGAAGAGCAAGACGAACUAGAAUGCUAGAGAUUAGUGAGUGAGCACUGAGAGCGAUGCCGGCGCUAUUUAUAAGGGCUUUUCAUGCUGGCAAACACCAACCCCUGUCACAAAUGUGAC